GGACACACGUGAACUGAUUAAGCACUUGGCUGUCAACAGGGGCUCCACUGGUCGUCCUUAUGUUGGUGCAUGUAGACCAAGAACAGAUGCCCCAAGGAGAUUUCAGCUUCUGUCAUGGUAAAGAUUGUCAAGAGACCAAGGUACCUGAAUGACUAAGUAAAUGAAAUGUGGUUCGCAAGAGGCAAUGGGAUAAGGUCCCAGUUUCCUUCAUCGUCUGCUCUGCUCUGUACUCCUCAGAAUGGAUGCACUCACGCUGAUACAGGUGCUUCCAUGGUUACA